rnacentral:rRNA from 1 species
GUGGGGAAUUUUGGACAAUGGGCGCAAGCCUGAUCCAGCAAUGCCGCGUGCAGGAAGAAGGCCUUCGGGUUGUAAACUGCUUUUGUACGGAACGAAACGGUCCUGGCUAAUAUCCGGGGCUAAUGACGGUACCGUAAGAAUAAGCACCGGCUAACUACGUGCCAGCAGCCGCGGUAAUACGUAGGGUGCAAGCGUUAAUCGGAAUUACUGGGCGUAAAGCGUGCGCAGGCGGUUUUGUAAGACAGGCGUGAAAUCCCCGGGCUCAACCUGGGAAUUGCGCUUGUGACUGCAAGGCUGGAGUGCGGCAGAGGGGGAUGGAAUUCCGCGUGUAGCAGUGAAAUGCGUAGAUAUGCGGAGGAACACCGAUGGCGAAGGCAAUCCCCUGGGCCUGCACUGACGCUCAUGCACGAAAGCGUGGGGAGCAAACAGGAUUAGAUACCCGAGUAGUCC